rnacentral:rRNA from 1 species
UACGUAGGGUGCAAGCGUUGUCCGGAAUUAUUGGGCGUAAAGAGCUCGUAGGCGGUUUGUCGCGUCUGCUGUGAAAACUCGGGGCUUAACCCCGGGCCUGCAGUGGGUACGGGCAGACUAGAGUGCGGUAGGGGAGACUGGAAUUCCUGGUGUAGCGGUGAAAUGCGCAGAUAUCAGGAGGAACACCGGUGGCGAAGGCGGCUACCUGGACAGAAACUGACGCUGAGGCGCGAAAGCUAGGGGAGCAAACAGG